AGCAAAACAUUCAAAAAGAGGUCGUUUCUUGUCUUAACCGUCUUUGUCUCGACGCCUUUUCAAAGUUUGUGAAAAGUGAACUUACUUCAAAAUCAAAGUUAUUAUGAGAACUUAGCGUAUACCAAACAACAAUUAUUAUUCAAUAAUCAAAUGUUCAUUACAUGAGAAAAGAAUCCCUCGCAGUUUCAGGAAAAAAUAACCGAAUUACUACUUACCUUUGACAAAAGACGUUUGCUUGGCUUGAAAUAAAAACAAUGACCGUUCCCUGAUCACCGGCGAAAACAAGACAUGAAGAUUGAGUAGUAAGGCAGAGGCCGUUUUGAUUAAAUUAGUUAUAAAAAGCAUCAAAAUGGUUGAAGCUGACAAAGGAACUAUAGACACCGUACAAGUCGCACUUAGGAUUAGACCGCUCAUGCAUCAAGAGAUAGAAAGAGGCUGCGAUGAGUGUAUUGAUGUGGUUCCUAAUGAGCAACAGGUGCAGAUCAAAGAUCUAGCCUUCACCUUCAAUUAUGUUUUCCCUCAGCAUAUCACUCAGCAGGAAUUCUAUGACACGGCUGUGAAAGGACUGAUUGGGAAACUCUUCCAAGGUUACAAUGUGACAAUACUGGCAUAUGGGCAGACCGGCUCAGGCAAAACAUACACUAUGGGCACAAAUUAUUCUGGUUCUGAUGGUGACUUCACUAAGUUAGGUGUGAUACCCCAGGCAGUGGCAGACAUUUUUGACUUUAUCGAGACGCAUGAAGACAAGUUCAUAUUUAAAAUUUCCGUGUCAUUCAUGGAGUUAUAUCAAGAGCAGUGCUACGAUUUACUGUCCGGAAAGGAAAGGGGCCACAGUAUUAUUGAAAUUAGAGAGGAUAUUAACAAAGGCGUAGUUUUGCCAGGUAUAACAGAGCUGCCAGUGACAUCAACCAGAGAGACCAUGAUGAUACUGGAGCGAGGGUCCAUGGGCCGAGUGACGGGCUCCACGGCUAUGAACCAGGCCUCCAGCAGGAGUCACGCUGUCUUCACUAUCAUUAUAGCUAAGGAAAGUAGGACUGACAAAAAUAUUGCAACAACAUCAAAAUUCCACCUGGUGGACUUGGCGGGCUCUGAAAGGAUCAAGAAGACAAAAGCUAGCGGGGAAAGGUUGAAGGAAGGUGUCAAGAUCAAUCAGGGUUUGUUGGCUCUAGGCAAUGUCAUCUCGGCGCUCGGUGAUGGUACCAAUAGAAGCUUCAUCAGCUAUAGAGACAGCAAGCUGACUAGGUUGUUACAAGACAGUCUGGGCGGCAAUUCGCUGACGCUGAUGGUGGCGUGCGUGAGCCCCGCCGACUACAACCUGGACGAGACCGUGUCCACGCUGCGCUACGCCGACCGCGCGCGCCGCAUCCGCAACAAGCCCAUCAUCAACCAGGACGCCAAGGCGGCCGAGAUCGUCAGGUUGAACAACUUAGUAAACGAACUGAGACUACAACUGAUCGGGAAAUUGCCGACCGCGUCAGAGCAGAACAACGAACAACUCCAAGAAGAGUUGGAAAGAGAAAGAGCUAAAUACGCGGAGCUACUCAAGAAACACAAGCAAGUAACCGAGCACCUCAGCAAUAUGCUCAUUGAAAACACCAAUUUGUGCGAAAAAGCACUCUUAGCUGAGGCAGCAAAGGACAAAAUAGAACGGAAGCUAAAUGAAUUGACGGAACAGUGUAACCAGACUAUAGAAAACUUAAAUACUUCAGAAGCUCAAGACGAGGAAGCGCAAAAAACUUCAGUUGUUGAUUAUUUGAAAGAGAUUAAGUCGAGAUUGGAAGAUUUGCAGUCUGUUAAUCUGAAGACCAAUGAAGAAUUAAUUGAUCACGAGAUUAAACUAUCGUUUGUAAAGGAAGAUGAUACUGAAAAGGUUGAUGAUGACGUGAUGAUGAAUGAGGAUCAGGCUGUUUUGGAAGAGGAAAAGAGGGCUAUGGGACAGGUGGCUCUGAACCAAGAGCUGCAGGAGCUCAACCGUGCUAUGGCGAUCAAGGCGUCCGUGGUUCAAGCUAUACUGGCCAAUAACAAGGACAUGCUGGACAGCCACAAUAACCUGAGGGAGAACGAAGAGAAGAUCGCCCAGCUAGAGAAAGAGAGGGACGAACUUAUGCAACAGCUCAAACAGACCAAGGUCAAAGACCCGUCUCACGAGGAGAGGCGCACCAAGGUGUCGACCCUGGAGGCUGAGAUAUCUGACCUGAAGAAGAAAUGUCAGCAGCAAGCCCACAUCAUCAAAACUAAGGAGAAGAACGAAGCCAAGAUCGCCGCGCUCAACGCCGAGCUGCAUUCUAUGAAGGCUACUAAGGUGAAAAUAAUAAAGCAAAUGCGCGAGGAGAGCGAGAAGUUCCGCAAGUGGAAGGCGGACAACGAGCGCGCGAUGCUGCGCCUGCGCACUGAGGACCGCAAGCGCGCCACCGCCAUGGCCAAGAUGGAGUCGCUGCACGCCAAGCAGCAGAAUGUACUCAAACGCAAAAUGGAGGAGGCUGUUGCGGUUAAUAAGAGGCUGAAGGAAGCGCUGGAGAGGCAGAAGAACACCGCAAUGAAACGCAACGCGAAGGGCAGCGUGAAAGCUGGAGCUGUGCAGCAAUACAUAGAGCAGGAACUAGAGGUCCAUCUCAGUAUUGUUGAGGCCGAGAAGUCGCUGGAGGAGCUCAUGGAGUACAGGGCGUGGAUAACAGAACAAAUAGAGAACCUGCGCAACAGCACAGACGAUGAGAGCAACCGCAAGAAGAUCGCGGAGCUGGAGGACGACCUCGCGCUCAGGAAGGCGCAGAUAUCUGAUCUGCAACAGAAGAUUCUCACCGCCGACCAAGAGAACAAAUCUCGCACACAGUGGGACAACAUCCAAUCGAUGCUGGAAGCGAAGGUAGCUCUGAAGUGUCUGUUCGAACUUCUGGUGGACACAAAGCGGGAGCUGCAGAACCAGAGUGAGAAGGGGUACCAGGCACGAUACGAGGAGAUCAAGGAGGCGCAUGAUAGGUUGACGGUAGAAUAUGAACACAGCAAGACCGAAUUCGAAAGGCAACUGGCCACCGUCAAGAUGCAGAGCGAGCAAAAGCUGACGGCGUUGGUGGCGCUGCAGCGCGGCGUAGUGCGCGGCGACCGCAGCGAGGCGUGCAAACAUCUGCAGAACGUGAUCCAGUUCCAGCAGGACAAGCUGGACCAGCUGGACGACGAGAAUAAAAAGCUACUGGACGAAUUAGAACAGCUCCGCGCGGCCGGCAGCAAAGCGAAGAAACGUAAGAACGGGCCGCUGGACGCGGUGAAGAAGGUGGAGUACGUGGAGCCCACUGACGAGGAAGAAGAAGAAGAAGAGGACGAGGAACGAGACCCCGAUUGGCGGGCCACGCCGCUCAUCAAACGCAUUCAGGCACAACGUUCGUCCCGGCUGACGAUGAACUUCAAGCCGGAGACGGAGAGCGCGCGCGCCAGCAAGCGCGCCAGCGACGGCGCGCCGCACUGCUGCUGCCGCGGCAGCUGCUCCACCAAGAUGUGCGGCUGUGUCAAGAACGAUAAGGGCUGCGGCGCUGCUUGUAGGUGUCAAAGCGCGCUCUGUAAAAAUAGAGGAAGAAACUCUUCGGACAGCGAAGACAAGGAAAAUAACCCGUCCGGUACUGAAAUGUCGUCUUUAGAUUCGACGCCGCAAUCUUAUUUUGACAAACGGUUUGAAACAUCUGAAGAAUUGGAAAAACAAAACGUUCCGUCUCAUAGCAAAAGUCCGCCAAAAAGCGAUGCGUCCAACAAGCAAGUGUCGCGUCCAAUGCGGCCUCUGGCCGAAAGGCGGGCCGGCCCGGACUAUCGCACGCAGAAAUGGAUGUUAGCUCUGUUGCUAUACAAUACUUGUCUGGCGCCCAUGUCCGGCUACUGCGCGAACUCUAUAUUUGAGUACGGCGUGGACGCCGCCAAGUAUAAUAUCGCGGCGCAUGUGCUAAAGUAUCUACUGCGGCAGAAACCAUCUUGAUGCGACGUACGUAAAAAAGAAAAAGAGUUACUUCUUCCCCCUUGAUCAGGGAGAGGAACAAGCAAAACCUGUAAAGACUGAAUAGACAUCUGGAACAGCAGUAUAUCAUAAUGUUACACUAUCACUAUAAACAUAUCGACUACGUUAUUAGUUAUUAACAAAACCUAUCUUUAGUGCCUUUUAACUGUAGAUUUGUUUUAUUUUAAUUAUGAGCCCAAAAUUAAUGGAUUUAUAAUGUUUUGCUUAUAGUAUUGAUCUUGUCCAUAUAUAAACACUUGGCUUGUUCUGUGAGCGUUUAUAAAAUUGUGGAGUGGAACUCUGAAUAAAUAUUUUUGUAUUUA